UGAUAUUUAAACGGGCACAAAGCCAAGGUUGGCGAUUCACAACCACCUGGAGAGUGAUAUUUAAACAGGCACAAAGCCAAGGUUGGUGAUUCACAACCACCUGGAGGGUGAUAUUUAAACAGGCACAAAGCCAAGGUUGGCGAUUCACAACCACCUGGAGGGUGAUAUUUAAACAGGCACAAAGCCAAGGUUGGUGAUUCACAACCACCUGGAGGGUGAUAUUUAAACAGGCACAAAGCCAAGGUUGGUGAUUCACAACCACCUGGAGGGUGAUAUUUAAACAGGCACAAAGCCAAGGUUGGUGAUUCACAACCACCUGGAGGGUGAUAUUUAAACAGGCACAAAGCCAAGGUUGGUGAUUCACAACCACCUGGAGGGUGAUAUUUAAACAGGCACAAAGCCAAGGUUGGUGAUUCACAACCACCUGGAGGGUGAUAUUUAAACAGGCACAAAGCCAAGGUUGGCGAUUCACAAC